CCCGCCUGAGAACUAUAAGCACAAGCUAGAAACUCAAAGGGUCUGGCGGCACUUUAAAUCAUCCAGAGGAGCCUGUCCUAUAAUCGAUAAUCCCCGCUAAACCUCUCCUUCUUUUGCAAUUAUUCAGCCUGUAUACCGCCGUCGUCAGCUUUCCCCAACAAGUUUAAUAGUAAGCAAAACUGGUUUUACCCAAAACGCCAGGUCAAGGUGCAGCAUACAAGAAGGUAAGAGAUGGGCUACAUUUCCUGUCCAGGAAAUACGAAUAGUACAUUGAAAUAUGCACAUUGAAGGAGGAUUUAGCAGUAAGUAAAAAAUAGAGUGUUUU
rnacentral:rRNA from 1 species